CUAGAGAGACUGCCGGGGAUAACUCGGAGGAAGGUGGGGAUGACGUCAAAUCAUCAUGCCCCUUAUGUUCAGGGCUACACACGUGCUACAAUGGCCGAUACAAAGGGCUGCGAAGGAGUAAUCUGGAGCCAAUCCCAUAAAGUCGGUCCCAGUUCGGAUUGUGGGCUGAAACUCGCCCACAUGAAGUUGGAGUUGCUAGUAAUCGCGAAUCAGAAUGUCGCGGUGAAUGCGUUCCCGGGUCUUGUACACACCGCCCGUCACACCAUGGGAGUCGGAAGCGCCCGAAGCCAGCUAUCUAACCUUUUGGAGGAAGCUGUCGAAGGUGAAGUCGAUGACUGGGGUGAAGUCGUAACAAGGUAG
rnacentral:rRNA from 1 species